CUUAAACCUAUGGACCCAAUUAAGGGGUCCAGUUUUCAUUCUUUUGGAAGGGGGGUCACUUCCAGUGACUAUUUUUCCUUUCCUAUUUUUCUCUGGUCCUGAAACGCUCACGGCUUCCUUUCUUUUCUCCUUUUCCAUGAACAGCGGUGAGAGUGCAAUGAUGGAGGUGAGAGACGCGAAAAGGUUGCAGCGAGAACGACGAGGUCGCAAGAGUGGCGUUUCUAACGGGGUUCAAAACUCUAGUUUCUUUCUUCUCUCUUUCUUGCUCGGGCAACUCAAGUUGGAGAGAUCAUCGUUGGUGCGGCGAUGUCGGCGAGGGCGCGACGACUGCGUGGUAGAGGCACGUUGAGGAGACGACGUUCUCUUCGUGGCAGUGUGUUGGUGGCGACUUUCACGGUUCAAGGACAGAGGCUUUAUUCUUCUUAUCCCCUCUUUCGAUUUUUACGAUUAGGGUUUUGUGUGUUCACCAGAUCUUUGGAUUGCCAUUUUCGCGUUUGGGUUGGUUUUGAUCUUCUGCAGGUCUGGUUUUUCUUGAUUGGGAUUAAGGUUCUGAUUGGGAUGGUUAGGGUUUUGAAUUGGGAAAAUUCUUUUAGGGUAAUUUUUGUUUGUGUUCUGCCUCUUAGUUUAUCCGGUGUAACUGAAACUUGCGGUGAAGAGGAAUGGAGGUUGAGCGAGAACGAACAAGAACGUAUUGUUGGGCUGCGGCUAAGUUGCUCUCGGUCUGGACCUAAGUGAGUUUGUAGACUCAAAGUUGAAUUCGAGAUUAGUCUUUUUGAUUUCUAAUUGAGCCUGUAGACUCCCAUAAUACACUCUGUUUAGUUUUGAAUUUUUAAUGGUAGAAAAGAAAAAUUAAAAAUUCAAUAAUAUUAAUAAUAAUCAGAAUUUUAACUGGACUGUUUAUACUUACAGGGUGAUUUAAUUUGGAAGUGUAAAAGUAUUAAUUAUUGAUAUUAAUUAAUAAUUAUUCAUAUUAAUUAAUGAUGUUAAAUUAAAAAGGGAG
rnacentral:lncRNA from 1 species